UGCAGAACAAAAGCGACUUGUCAAAGUGUGCCACGACAAUUUCGACGCCGUGGAUCUGCGAAGAAAAACCCAAGCAGAUUCGUUCCGGGACCGGUGUUUGUUCCGUCGGUUCUCCCCACGGGAUCUACGUUGGAUUAUUAAUUCAAAUAUGAUUCUGCUUUUGCAGUCACGAAGGUUUUGCCGGAUUUCGGAAUCCCCGGCACAAUCGACGUCCGCCUUAAUGAAAUCCAAGCCCACAAUGGCCACAGUCAGCUGCUCAGCCAACGUCCGGGCACCAGUUCUGCGGACUUUUGACGGUUCUGAUGACAACAGUGGCUGAUCCGCUGUCCGGGGAAAUGGCCGUGGAACCGUCCUCCUUCACGAAAAAGCACAGUUCCUGACGAAUGCUUCUCAGCGGAUGGGUUGGCCGGUUGCCAGGUUGGCCGGAAAUGGCCAGUCGCUCCCGGAAGAUUCAACCUCAUGGCGGAUAUCGGAAAAGCACUAAUGGCUGGCAGAAAUUUUUGAAAAAAAUAGUGAAAAUAUUAGUGAAUUGCCUUUUUAUGUGUAAUUAUGGAAAAAAUAUGAAUAAAUGUGUGUUUUUGGUUGUU